GCUCUUAUGAAGUUAGCGGCGGACGGGUGAGUAACACGUGGGUAACCUGCCCAUAAGACUGGGAUAACUCCGGGAAACCGGGGCUAAUACCGGAUAACAUUUUGAACCGCAUGGUUCGAAAUUGAAAGGCGGCUUCGGCUGUCACUUAUGGAUGGACCCGCGUCGCAUUAGCUAGUUGGUGAGGUAACGGCUCACCAAGGCAACGAUGCGUAGCCGACCUGAGAGGGUGAUCGGCCACACUGGGACUGAGACACGGCCCAGACUCCUACGGGAGGCAGCAGUAGGGAAUCUUCCGCAAUGGACGAAAGUCUGACGGAGCAACGCCGCGUGAGUGAUGAAGGCUUUCGGGUCGUAAAACUCUGUUGUUAGGGAAGAACAAGUGCUAGUUGAAUAAGCUGGCACCUUGACGGUACCUAACCAGAAAGCCACGGCUAACUACGUGCCAGCAGCCGCGGUAAUACGUAGGU
rnacentral:rRNA from 1 species